CAAAGCAUACUUUAAUCUAUGCAAAAAAAAAUCACUUCAACUUGGAGAAAUCUUAGUAUUGGGGAUUGAUGAUAGAAGGGUGCUAACAUUCUGUACUGCUCAAAUUUUUUAAGACAGUCAUAUAUUGCCUUCUCAAAAAACUACAUUAAAAUUAUUUAAGUAGGACAAAAAGUGAAUGCAAAGGAAUAAAAUGAAGGCGACGAGUGAGGACAAUUAUAUGUCCUGUUGCUGAGAAGGAUGCAGAGAAAUUAAUGCGUGAUCAAAAUUUUGUUAUUUUUGUUGGGACUGUCCGUUGCUCUUUAUAGAGAAAAAGUUCGAAGACACCCUGAGAGUCUGACUACGCAUCAGUCAGAUUGAACCAAUCUGAGAGAGAGAGAUGUGAUUCAAAUGGAGGCAGGUAAAGAAGUCUUCAGAAGCCCCAAGGAAUAAAAUUCAGGUGAACAGAAAGGUUCACCUGUGAUUAGCGCAGGGGCGCUUCCAUUUUAACAAGCAGAAUGAAGAAAGUUGUUAGAUUUCUUUUGUGUGAAAGUGACCAAUCUUCGGUGGAGGACUUGGCCUUGUUGGAGAACAGGCACGUCUUCCAUGUUAACAAGUAGACUACAGCAUUAUGGAUACAAACGUAGCUAAGUUUUUAUAAUUUUAGAUGCCUUCUUUAAAGACUCAUUUCGGAACAAGAAAAGGCUUUCAGACAUUCUCCAAUGACUAGCAGCAUUUGCCAUCCAUCUUUAAA
rnacentral:lncRNA from 1 species